UACGAAGGGGGCUAGCGUUGCUCGGAAUCACUGGGCGUAAAGCGCACGUAGGCGGAUUGUUAAGUCGGGGGUGAAAUCCUGGAGCUCAACUCCAGAACUGCCUUCGAUACUGGCGAUCUUGAGUCCGGGAGAGGUGAGUGGAACUCCGAGUGUAGAGGUGAAAUUCGUAGAUAUUCGGAAGAACACCAGUGGCGAAGGCGGCUUGCCAGAACGCGCUCGACGGUGAGGGAUGAAAGCUGGGG
rnacentral:rRNA from 1 species